GACGAACGCUGGCGGCGUGCUUAACACAUGCAAGUCGAACGGAAAGGCCCUUCGGGGUACUCGAGUGGCGAACGGGUGAGUAACACGUGGGUGAUCUGCCCUGCACUUUGGGAUAAGCCUGGGAAACUGGGUCUAAUACCGAAUAGGACCACGCGCUUCAUGGUGUGUGGUGGAAAGCUUUUGCGGUGUGGGAUGGGCCCGCGGCCUAUCAGCUUGUUGGUGGGGUAAUGGCCUACCAAGGCGACGACGGGUAGCCGGCCUGAGAGGGUGACCGGCCACACUGGGACUGAGAUACGGCCCAGACUCCUACGGGAGGCAGCAGUGGGGAAUAUUGCACAGUGGGCGCAAGCCUGAUGCAGCGACGCCGCGUGAGGGAUGACGGCCUUCGGGUUGUAAACCUCUUUCACCAGGGACGAAGCGUAAGUGACGGUACCUGGAGAAGAAGCACCGGCCAACUACGUG
rnacentral:rRNA from 1 species